CCCACGCAGCCGCCGCCUCUCCCUCACCAUUCCCAUCUCGCCAGAACCGCAGCUCCCGUAGUCCUUCCCGGCCAACUGAGGAGCCCCCAUCCCAGCCCCACGCCGGGGUUCAGCGGCAUGAGAGGAAAGGAUCGACGAUGACCCAGUAAAGAGGAUGAGAGAUCGAGGAGGGAGGGUGUGGUCGCAGAGGAGAGGGGAGACGUAGGGCGGUGGAGGUCAGGCACCGGCACCGGAGACGCAGAUCCGUGGUAGAGCCAGAGAGGUCACGCUGGUCGGCAAGGAUGUCCUACCCUGUGCACGAGGAGAAGGGCGGCGAGGAUGUGCUUCUCUAUGCACGACCGUCGAAGUGCAGCAUCAUUGUGAUGUAUUUUCCUGUGGCUUUCUCCAUUAAUAUGUUUCUUCUCAACGAUCAUAUCAAUCUGGCUAGCGUUUGGACAUGUGAUUGGUUGAGGUUAACGAUUGGUACUACAAGGAGAGGUGCAACUAUUAUUUUGAUUUUGGGCUUUUGGUAGAUUUGAUUUAUCAUGGUUAAAGCACUGGUAAUGGCGCAGGUUAACGAUUGGUACUACAAGGAGAGGCUACUGCCAUGCUGCCUCUUCCUCAUAUUGGUAUAGGAGCACACACUGAUCCGAUAAACAGGAGUGAAGUAGGCAAUGCCUUGUAUAGUGGCUGCUGCCUCUGGUCUCCUCACCAUUAGUUUUUAAAGGUGGCAACAUCAGUGAUUUCUUGAUGAUCAUGUGAAGCUUGUGGGUUCAAAAUGGAUAAUGCAGUGAAAAAGAAGUCUGGGUCAAGAAAACAUGGACAUGUUGAGUACACGUGUACAUCUGUAUGCCCUUGGUACCUGUGUGGAAGGGCAGCUAACGAAUUUCCACAAGGCAAGGUACAAGCCUGCACAAGGAUUGCACAGAAUGGGUGAAACGAGAGACCUCGAGAGGGCAAAUCCACUUGCUCUUCCUUUACAUUGAACAUGUGGGAAAUCAGUGGUGUUAGAAGAAAAAAGAGGAGAAAAAAAUGUCAGGGUCAAUUCAUGAAAAUUCGUUACAUGAAUCAGGAACUAUAUGAUACUAUACCUGAACUUAUUGGAGAAGAACACAGACUUUCCAACUCUUGAGAGGGCAUGCCUCUUAACUAUCAGCAUAGUGAUGUCGAUGUAUUACCUUUUUCUGAAUAUGCAAUAACUAUUUAUUCUCUUUUGAUAUUGUUCACGUCAGUCUUGGGAGGUAUCUUCCAAGUUUUAAUGGCUGUAAUCCGUGGUCCUGAGAUUCAUAGAGUUUGUGGUGACGCUUCUGUUGAGCAACUACCUGAGAAAAUGUUAUGUGUA